UACUGCCAUCUGUUGCCAGCUCUUGACACCUUCCACACUUCGAGCAAUCUCUCCGGUAUUUUAUCUUAGCUGUAUUUUUUUUUCUCCCCCAGCUCAGUGCAACCUUUGUUGAAAUGUGCAUUGUAACAGAAGACCAAUUGCAUGUGUCUUUCCCCACGCUAGGCGCCCUGUGUUUGUACAGAUGUCAUCGCAUUGCAUCAGAUCUGAGCUCAGGUUUGCAUGCUGUUUCUUUCACACUGAAAACUCAUGCUAACAGAUCCUCAACACAGGAUAAUUGUAUUGGAGCGAAGCUGUUCAGAUAUUGGUUGCCUGUCAGCAAAGACGGAGGGUUAUGCCUGAUUGAAAUAGCUGCGGCUAAUGGAACUGCUAAUCGAUCACAGAAAUAUGUAUCUGAACCCUCGUCUGAGGUAAAUCCAAUACUAUCACUGAUUUCAAAUGAACUUCAUUUUGUAUUUAACCAGUAAGCAUUUCGCAUUUAUUGUCAAGGCAUCUUUUGGGUUGCGAUCACUAUCCAGUCACGUUUUGAACAGAUGGUAAAAGUGAAGUACAUUCUUGUAUAUUUACUAUGAAUUAGUGUGACCACAUCAGUUAAAAUUAUGUGUGUUCAGGAUAUUCACACACAAUUCACAUCAUAUUAGUUGGUUCUCUUGUUCUCUUAUAUUAAUAAGGUCAAAACCAUGCAUGUUGUGUUUUGAUGAAUAAUACAGUAUGAUGGCAGAUGGUAACCAACCAUGAAUCUGAUUCCUCUAUUGUAGAUAAAUAAAAAUGAAAACAGAUAUAAUCACAAAGCUUGAAAUGGAUUAAUAGAUAAAUGGAGAACAGUGCACUGUUCUCAUAAAGGCCUUUCAUGAUAAUAUGACCAACAGAUCACUCAUUAAGUAAGAAUAAAACAUGAUAUUGAUUGAAAACAUGCUAUUAUAGAAAAAUAAUCAGUGAUGUGGCCUGACGUGAAGCCCUGUUACUGUUACUACUCUGAAGUGGAUUAUUUUCCAAUAACAGCACAAUAUGAAGUGGUCUUUUUCCUAUUAUUCCACAGCAGUUUGCCAAAGAUGAUCAUUUUUUAUGACACAUCAUGCUUUUUAACCUUUUACAGUUGCAUUUUAUGACUGCAAAACAAGUUAUUUCCUGCUAUUGCUAACAUUAUAGCAGCUAUAAGGAUUACUUUAUCCGCCUCUCUUUUUUCUCUCUUGAAGACAAAAAAAACCAACACGACUUCUCAUGUUAGCGAAAAAACAGAAAUUCCCGAAUUCUUCUGUUCUGGAAAUUUUUCUGUGGCAGAAAUCUUACUGGCUGGUACAAAA